rnacentral:tRNA from 1 species
UAUAUUUUAGUAUUUGAUGUACACAAAUUUUUGAUAUUUGAAGAAAUGGUUUAAUUCCAUUAAAUGUAA